rnacentral:rRNA from 1 species
GAUGAACGCUAGCGGCAAGGCUUAACACAUGCAAGGUCGAGGGGCAGCAUGAUUUAACUUUCGGGUUAGAUUGAUGGCGACCGGCGCAAGGGUGCGUAACGCGUGAGCAACUUGCCCUUAUCAGGGGGAUAACCGUUGGAAACGACGACUAAUACCCCAUAGUAUCACUUUAAGGCAUCUUUUAGUGAUUAAAGAACUUCGGUUAUGGAUGGGGAUGCGUAAGAUUAGGUAGUAGGCGGGGUAACGGCCCACCUAGCCGACGAUCUUUAGGGGUUCUGAGAGGAAGGUCCCCCACACUGGUACUGAGACACGGUCCAGACUCCUACGGGAGGCAGCAGUGAGGAAUAUUGGUCAAUGGUCGGAAGACUGAACCAGCCAAGUAGCGUGAAGGAUGAAGGUUCUAUGGAUUGUAAACUUCUUUUAUACGGGAAUAAAACCACCUACGUGUAGGUGCUUGUAUGUACCGUAUGAAUAAGCAUCGGCUAACUCCGUG